CAACUCUUUGAUGCCAAUUCUCAGUCUUGGGAUCUACAAAAAUUGCAUCAGAAUUUUCAACCCUAAGAGAUACUUAAUAUUUGUUCUAUACCAAUAUCUUUGUUUCCUUGUGAAGACAAGCUAAUGCGGUAUUUCGAUAAAAGGGAUAUUUACAUUAUCAAAUUAGGUUAUUUCAUAGCCCAUAGUCUCCAGCGUGCUCUUCGGGUUGUUUCACAAGCAGGACUUAGUUCUCAAGCUCAAAGGGAGAACCGCUUGUUUUGGAAGAAGAUAUGGAAAAUGCCCCUUCCUCCAACACUAUCCAUUUUUCUUUGGAGAGCUUUGAAAGAACGGCUACCAGUUAAUGAUCUCAUUCACCACUGAUUGUCCCAUUUUAAUCCUGAAUGAAAGUUCUGUGGAGCUACUGAAACGCAACAUUAUCUAUUCUUUGAAUGUCCGACAGCUGUGGAAAUUUGGAUCCAAUCCCCUUUCUGAAUUAGAUCUUCUUUUAUAUCAGGUGCAACAAUAUUGGAUUGCUGGAAUGAUUUUUUUAUGCCUCUUUUUAAUCAAGAAAACACUAAGGAGUUUGCUGUUAUGGCGAUAUAUUUGUUAUGGCGCAUUUGGAAGUCUAGGAAUGCUCUUAUUUUCAGAAAUCAAUCCUUCAGUUUUCAGUGAUUUGAUGUAAUCCUAAGGCCUAGAACAAGUUUGAAAGAGUGAAGAAGUCAAAAAGUAAGAGUUAGAAUGCUGGGAGAAUUGCAUAGGCCGUGCAACCAGAAGCCAUAACCCGUGCAACAUAGCCAAGGGAAAGAGCCUGUACAAGGGCUGUGUACUAGGACCUAUGCACCAAACUCUACCUCGUAAUGUUCUGUCCUCCCUCGAGAAGUAAAGUUUUAGACGUCUCGGAAGUUAGAUAUCCUGUGUAGUACUACAUGGGCAGUGUACUAUGCACUAGCUGAGACUUCCAACUUGAUUCGUCCUCUUAUGUGCUCGACUCAAAAGGACUUCUAAGGCGUACAGGACUCUAAAUUGACUAUUUUUACACUAGAUAUAAAUACAAGAAGUUAGAAACAAGCCCAAGAUCGAUUUUCAUUACAUUCAAGCAACACAAUUACACCUCGGGAGAGAUUGUUAACAAGAUUUGUAGAAGAAAUUUUCAGCUGAAGUUUUAAAAGUUCAAGGUUGCAAAAUCUUCAUUUUGGGUUUCUCUGUUCUAUUUCUUUUUAUGUGUUUUUCAUACUUUUUUUUUUUUAAGUUUGAUUGUAAAACUCACCAUGAGUAAGUAGUUUUCGUUAUUCUAGAAUUAGAGGUGUAACAUUUUCAAUUCAAUUAUGGAUUUUAUUUGAUUUUGUUCAAUAAAUUAGGGAUUUUA